rnacentral:rRNA from 1 species
UACAGAGGUCCCAAGCGUUGUUCGGAUUCACUGGGCGUAAAGGGUGCGUAGGUGGUGAGGUAAGUCGGAUGUGAAAUCUCGGAGCUCAACUCCGAAACUGCAUUGGAAACUACCUCGCUCGAGGGUUGGAGGGGGGACUGGAAUACUUGGUGUAGCAGUGAAAUGCGUAGAUAUCAAGUGGAACACCAGUGGUGAAGGCGAGUCCCUGGACAACUCCUGACACUGAGGCACGAAAGCUAGGGGAGCAAGCAGG